CCUCUCUUUGUAAUCUUCAGACUUGUACUACUCAGUGAGGCUUUUAAGCCCUGGUGGUCCAAGUUUUUUUCGCCUGUUGUCAUCUUCCAUCUGCUGUAAAGAAAAGAAAAGGGAAAAAAUUGUUUGGCUCCUGGCAGACUUCACAACCUCAUCGUUGAUACAAGAAAAUUGAACUAAACUCCCAGUUAUCUGUCCAAAUAAUCUCUCUAUUUGUUUUGCAUUGUUUGGCGGCCGGAGUGACAAACCCAAAGCUGCUAUGUUAUCUGCAAAAAGGCGCAACAACUCCUCAGACUCGGCCGCCAUUAUGUCGCCAUGUUUACGUGCGCUAAGCCGCCCGUGCACGGGGGCCGACCCGCCGCCGGUCACCGUGGAGACGAUAAAGCGCCGUCAUAAUUGCUUUAGCGCUUUUGUUGUGCCCGCCAGGCGCUCGCCAGGGAGGGUUGCAGGUUAGCGCAGAUAAAGCCGACUCGGCGGGAUUCGUUCUCGCGCCACUCAUCUGGAAAGAUUCAAAUAAAUGUAAUAGAAAGUCGUUCUGGCCAGGCAACGUGUUCUGACUGUUUGCCAGUUGUGUACCUGAGCAAGGUGAUGACUGCGCAUGAAUAUCAAGUUACACUACUAAUAGUAUAAAAUACUUUGAGCACUGUCUGUCCGGCCGUCUGUCCGUACGUCUGGCGUGAAUUUGUCAGCUUUGAAGUGCAGGUGUGUGCGUGCGUGUGUCAUGUAGACAAAUUACAAGGAGCCAGCUGUCCACAACGCCAGCGACGCCCCCCCAACCUGGACAAGAUGGUGGACAACUCACUGCCGGAAGCUGAUGAGCUCUCAGUAACUUGGGACUUGCUUGUGUCGCUCUCACAAUGCGGACUUCAUCCAGUGGACCCAGAAAGCCAAAGCAAGCAUGGAGAACGUGCAAACUCCACAUAGGAAGGCCAGAGACUGGAUUCGAACCACCAACCUCAGAGCUGCGAGGCUGAUGUGCUAACCACUAGGGCGGCGACCUGUCUUCACUGUGUUUUAUUAUUGUAUAUUCUAUUAUUUCGUCUAUUUCCUGAAAACGGAUAUAAUAAUUUGUUGCAUUGU